rnacentral:rRNA from 1 species
AACGCCGCGUGUGGGAUGACGGCCUUCGGGUUGUAAACCACUUUCAGCGCCGACGAAGCGAAAGUGACGGUAGGCGCAGAAGAAGCACCGGCCAACUACGUGCCAGCAGCCGCGGUAAUAAUCGUAGGGUGCGAGCGUUGUCCGGAAUUAUUGGGCGUAAAGGGCUCGUAGGCGGUCCAUCGCGUCGGAAGUGAAAACUCGGGGCUUAACCCCGAGCCUG